AUAAGAGGUCCCGCCUGCCCUGUGACUAUGGGUUUAACGGCCGCGGUAUUUUGACCGUGCGAAGGUAGCGCAAUCACUUGUCUUUUAAAUGAAGACCUGUAUGAAUGGCAUCACGAGGGCUUAGCUGUCUCCUCUCCCAAGUCAAUGAAAUUGAUCUGUCCGUGCAGAAGCGGGCAUAAGUACAUAAGACGAGAAGACCCUAUGGAGCUUUAGACACCAGGCAGAUCACGUCAAGUAACCUUAAAUUAAUAAGUGGAAACGCAGUGACCCCUAGCCCAUAUGUCUUUGGUUGGGGCGACCGCGGGGGAAAAUAAAGCCCCCAUGUGGACUGGGGGCACUGCCCCCACAGCCGAGAGCUACAGCUCUAAGCACCAGAAUUUCUGACCAAAAAUGAUCCGGCGAACGCCGAUCAACGGACCGAGUUACCCUAGGGAUAACAGCGCAAUCCUCUCCCAGAGUCCCUAUCGACGAGGGGGUUUACGACCUCGAUGUUGGAUCAGGACAUCCUAAUGGUGCAGCCGCUAUUAAGGGUUCGUUUGUUCCAACGAUUAAAGUCC
rnacentral:rRNA from 1 species